GGUUUUUUAGCCAGUGCUCAUGAUCCAGCAUUGUUUAUUCACCUUUCUCCUCGUGGACGGACUCUUCUUCUUCUUUAUGUUGAUGACAUGAUCAUCACGGGGGAUGACCCCGAGUAUAUUGCCUUUGUAAAGGCCCGUCUUAGUGAGCAGUUUCUUAUGUCUGAUCUUGGACCUCUUCGCUACUUUCUUGGGAUUGAAGUCUCUUCUACCUCUGAUGGCUUUUUUAUCUCCCAGGAAAAGUAUAUUCAGGAUCUUCUUGCUCGUGCUGCUCUUACUGACGAGCGCGUUGUUGAGACUCCUAUGGAGCUCAAUGUUCACCUCCGUGCUACUGAUGGUGAUCCUCUCCCUGAUCCGACGCGUUAUCGUCAUCUUGUUGGCAGUCUUGUCUAUCUAGUUGUC
rnacentral:rRNA from 1 species